UUGAUAGGUCAGAGGUGUAAGUGUGGCAACAUAUUUAGCUGACUGAUACUAAUAGGUCGAGGGCUUGACCAAUAA
rnacentral:rRNA from 1 species